AACGAACGCUGGCGGCAGGCCUAACACAUGCAAGUCGAACGCUCCGCAAGGGGAGUGGCGCACGGGUGAGUAACACGUGGGAACCUACCUUCUGGUACGGAACAACCAAGGGAAACUCUGGCUGAUACCGUAUACGACCUCCGGGUGAAAGAUUGAUCGCCGGAAGAGGGGCCCGCGUCCGAUUAGGUAGUUGGUGAGGUAACGGCUCACCAAGCCUGCGAUCGGUAGCUGGUCUGAGAGGAUGACCAGCCACACUGGGACUGAGACACGGCCCAGACUCCUACGGGAGGCAGCAGUGGGGAAUAUUGGACAAUGGGCGCAAGCCUGAUCCAGCCAUGCCGCGUGAGUGAUGAAGGCC
rnacentral:rRNA from 1 species